rnacentral:rRNA from 1 species
UACGAAGGGGGCGAGCGUUGUUCGGAAUUACUGGGCGUAAAGGGCGCGUAGGCGGCGACUCAAGUUAGAUGUGAAAGUCCUGGGCUUAACCUGGGGACUGCAUUUGAUACUGGGUUGCUUGAAUUCGGGAGAGGAUAGCGGAAUUCCCAGUGUAGAGGUGAAAUUCGUAGAUAUUGGGAAGAACACCGGUGGCGAAGGCGGCUAUCUGGACCGACAUUGACGCUGAGGCGCGUAAAGCGUGGGGAGCAAACAGG